rnacentral:rRNA from 1 species
UCGUGCUCGUGCUCGUGCUCAGGCCUAAUACAUGCAAGUCGAGCGGAUGAGAAGAGCUUGCUCUUCGAUUCAGCGGCGGACGGGUGAGUAAUGCCUAGGAAUCUGCCUGGUAGUGGGGGACAACGUUUCGAAAGGAACGCUAAUACCGCAUACGUCCUACGGGAGAAAGCAGGGGACCUUCGGGCCUUGCGCUAUCAGAUGAGCCUAGGUCGGAUUAGCUAGUUGGUGAGGUAAUGGCUCACCAAGGCUACGAUCCGUAACUGGUCUGAGAGGAUGAUCAGUCACACUGGAACUGAGACACGGUCCAGACUCCUACGGGAGGCAGCAGUGGGGAAUAUUGGACAAUGGGCGAAAGCUGAUCCAGCCAUGCCGCGUGUGUGAAGAAGGUCUUCGGAUUGUAAAGCACUUUAAGUUGGGAGGAAGGGCAGUAAGCUAAUACCUUGCUGUUUUGACGUUACCGACAGAAUAAGCACCGGCUAACUCUGUGCCAGCAGCCGCGGUAAUACAGAGGGUGCAAGCGUUAAUCGGAAUUACUGGGCGUAAAGCGCGCGUAGGUGGUUUGUUAAGUUGGAUGUGAAAGCCCCGGGCUCAACCUGGGAACUGCAUCCAAAACUGGCAAGCUAGAGUAUGGUAGAGGGUGGUGGAAUUUCCUGUGUAGCGGUGAAAUGCGUAGAUAUAGGAAGGAACACCAGUGGCGAAGGCGACCACCUGGACUGAUACUGACACUGAGGUGCGAAACGUGGGGGAGCAAACAGGAUUAGAUACCCUGGUAGUCCACGCCGUAAACGAUGUCGACUAGCCGUUGGGAGCCUUGAGCUCUUAGUGGCGCACGUAACGCAUUAAGUCGACCGCCUGGGGAGUACGGCCGCAAGUUAAAACUCAAAUGAAUUGACGGGGGCCCGCACAAGCGGUGGAGCAUGUGGUUUAAUUCGAAGC